GUUAUAGGAGAUUGAGGAGAUUUCGAUGGGUUCUCUUAUAACAUGUAAAGGUGUCAUUGUGAUUCAAUUUCAUGAAGAAGAAAAAUGAACAGAUUCUUAUAAAUUAUUUUGAUCAUAAAUAUAUUUAGAUUAGAUCUAAAGUAAUUUAUGAUUUAUUACAACAAGAUAAAAUUCAGAUAUAAAAUUAUUUUAGAUCUGAAUAGCAUGUUAUAUAAGAUGUAAUCGGUAUUGAUCUAAAAGUUAUCAUGAUGCAUGAGAUGUAUGUAUGAAAUUCAGAUCA
rnacentral:lncRNA from 1 species